UACAGAGGGGGCAAGCGUUGUUCGGAAUUACUGGGCGUAAAGGGCGCGUAGGCGGCCUCCUAAGUCGAACGUGAAAUCCCCGGGCUCAACCCGGGAACUGCGUCCGAGACUGGAAGGCUUGAAUCCGGGAGAGGGAUGUGGAAUUCCAGGUGUAGCGGUGAAAUGCGUAGAUAUCUGGAGGAACAUCGGUGGCGAAGGCGGCAUCCUGGACCGGUAUUGACGCUGAGGCGCGAAAGCCAGGGGAGCAAACGGG
rnacentral:rRNA from 1 species